AUCCCCAGGAAAGAGAAGCACGCUCCUUGGGUAAGGGGCGGGAGUGCUCACGCAGGAAGUGUGGCAAUUUGUUCUUGUCUGAACAGGAAACACACAGCGUUUUCUUCCCUGCCCCAGGCUGGUCUGCACAGUAACAGGAGAGUCUUAAAGCCUGCGAGUUAGACCCAAGUGAACCCUGAAACCAAACCGCGUUACUCUGCCAGCUAGUAAUUACCUUUGGAGCAGCUGCCACUCUCAAAGCAGAGGUUGGAUUUCUCCAGUACCCUUGAGGAGACCCCACGGACAUUAGUGGCCAGUGGAAUGCUGACCAGGUGGGCAACUGGACUCUUUUCAGGAGACAGAGUUCUGGUUGUGCAGAACUACUGAAAAGUGAAGGAACAACUGAAGGGUCUUGGCUGGGGCAGCUGCCCAGAGCAGUCCUGGCUGGGACAACGCCCCAGAGGCUACCCAAAGGCCCCUCAGCGUGGACUGCCCAGAAUGGGAAUCAGCAGACAAUGUGUGCUCAUCUGCAGUUCCACCACACUCCCCAAGGCAGAUGAAAGGCAGCUCCCUCUGUGAUCAUCAGGUAUCCUCUGCCUCAGAGACCUGAAUCGAUGCCGUCAGAGCUCUUGCUUAAGCCAGUUCCUUCAAGGGUAGAGCCACAGGCUUGGACAAAAGCGAUUCUCACUACCAGUAAGUUAGACGUUUUCUCCUCCUUCUCCUUCCGUCUGCACCCACUCCACUUCCCUCCCACGAUUCCUCCCUGACAUUUCCCUCUCUGACUGCUUCCUGCCACCAUCUUUGAGCGGCUUGAGACCUGGGUGCCAGCUUUCCACCCCGUGUGCCAGUGCCAGGCUGGAGGUCCCCUGCCCAGCAUACCCAGCCUGCCCUGUCCAAAACCCGGGCAACACGGCACAGCAGACGCAUGCGCUGCUGUAGAGAUCAAGAUCCAGCCUGGGUCGUACACGCAGCAGGGCCACAGCGCCUCCGCACAAAAGGCCCCCUCUGCGCUCACCCCAGAGCUCAGCCUAGGUAAAUAAAAAAUUUCAAGCUUGCGGGGCGGGUCCUAUCACUUUGUCCCAGGCCAUGGCCUGGGACACCUCCUUUCCCCUCCUGGCUGCCACCACCCUGUGGCUGCCUGACUCCACCUGCGGACAGAUCCACUCCAGCCCCACCCCACCCAGGGCCACCUUCUGAAGGCCCACUGCUAUCCAUGGCACUGCAGGCCCAGCCACGAGGCUCAGACCUCCCUGCCUGCUGCUUCUCUAAGCUUUGGUGGUACAUUUUCCCAGCUCCCACACUGCUCUGCCUCACACCCGGUCCAGACUUCUUACUCCUGUCCUCCCAUUCCUCCUUCUCUCCCAGGUCAGCCAGCGCCUGAGCACUUUCUCUUCGGACUCUAAAACCCUGGGUUCUCUCUAAUUCCCCUGAAGUUAACUUUAAACGCUUUGAUAGGCACUUUCCUCUCAGAGGCUAAAUUACAAAGUUUAUAACAACCAUCUGCCUUUAAGAGGGAUCAACAGCUACUGCAAAACAACUGACACUUGCGCUUACAUCUGCUAAAUAAGACUGAUAGACCGGAUCUUCUCUUCUGGGUGUUCAACAACUAAAGUUUUGAGGCCAAAGCUAGAGAGAUCACUGGACUAAGAGGAUGGCAUUUUAGUCCUGAGCCAUCAAGGUCAGCAGAGACCCCAGGACAUGAAAAGAAUCCCUUUUCUACAGGAUCCUGCGACUCUGGUGAGCUUCUCAAUCUCCUGAGCAGGGAGGUUGAUGGCCCCCAGGAGACAGAGGUAACAAAGAUGUGCCCUGUGCCUAAGGAGGGUCACCAGCAUGAAAGGUCUGUCCAGCAUGACCAUGACCCACCCUGGCAGCUGACUGACAGCUGAGAGCCUCUGCGCAUGGUCCUAAGAGUAAGUAAUGCCUUAACCAGGCUUACGUGACCUUGAUAGACAGUGAGAGGUCAGUUUUAAUUAACACAGAUCUCACUUUGACUUGGUCUUAAAUACCCAGCAGAAAAGUAAAAUCAAAAGAAAUAGAUAUGCUUUUAUCAUCUGUCUAUGCAAUUAUUCCCUGUAAAAGACACGUUGACCAGCCUCUUCCUUCUCUAAAUUAAAAAAAAAAAAUUAAAAUACCAGCUGUCCUCCAAAAUCAGAUGACAUUAGACAUUCUAACAUGAGCACAAGCAGGUACUUUUUUGUACCCUUAUAAAAUCUGAGUGCUGUGUAUACAUUCCUGAUCCUUCUAAUUUCUAUAUGGCUAUUCAAGAUAUUAGGUGACAAGUAGGACCAUUUCAGAAUCUAAAAUUCCCUAGACCUUCUCAUUAGCCUCCUUAUAAAAGGUAAUUGCUGGAUCUUCCUAGUAAAACAUUUGGUGGUUAUAAUCAUAAUAGUCAUAUGAUUUUAUUGUUCAAGCCAUAAAUACUUGUUUCUUUGGCCUUGUCUAUACCACAACUGUGGCCAGAGAUGCAUCAUUUAAAAGCCAGGCUUAAAGGUUAAGAGAUAACCAACAAAAAUCAGGUCUACAGACUCUGAAAGGGGUGAGAUAAAUGAUAACACCUGGUCUAAUAAAGUCUAGAUAGACAUCAGUCACCUCAGUAGACAACCAAGACCCCAGACCCACCUGGAAAAGGCUUGGAAAAAGACCCACCUGGAAAAUUGGUCUUUCUGUGUCCACUCACUCACUGUAUGAUUUACUUCCCAUUAGAUCAGUGUUAAACAAAGAACUCAUGGGAUCCCUUCAGCGAGUUAAACCUUUCUCUUUUUUCCUCUUCCAGCCUUGACCAAAGGCUUUCCCCAGAGCUAAACCCAAGGGUCUGAAUGGUUCCUCCCCUUCCCUGGUUCUCAGUCAAGCACCUUUCUCUAUCUCAUGAAAGCCAGAUCACCCUGGUGACAAUCAGACUGUGAGGGGACUAAAGCCAAUUGUUUCUUGCGGACUCCAAUGUGGUCUCCUGGUCCCUGUCAUCUCUCCAUAUAGCACUCCCAUUCUGCCUCUUCAAAAGACAAAUGGCACCCAUGGAUUGGUGCAGGACUGUUGUGCUAUUAACCAGAUAAUCCUUCCCAUCCACCUUAUCAUGCCAAACUGAUUCGCUCUUUUAUCUUCUGUCGCUUCAUCCACUACCCAUGACUCAGGCAUGGAUUUGAAAGAUUCCUUCUUUACUACUCCCUUAAACUACUCCUCACAACCUCCCUUCGCCUCUACUUCAGUCAGGCCCUUGCCCUUGACUUGCUCUCUUUCUGCCCAUGUCUCCCACCUCAUAUAAUACAUAGAUAAUUCCCUUCUCUACAGCCCCUCUCAUAGAUCGUCCAGGUGGGCUCAUGGCUGCUUCCCUCAGCAGGGUGAUUAGACUGUUUAAUUCUCCUUCUUAUUCAGGCCCUGUCUUUUCAGACUCCUGUCACAGUUCUUUCAAGACCUAAUCAAACAAUCUCUCAUCAGUGAUAUACAAUGGUUCCCCAGUGUUUUCCUUCCCAUGAGGCUGCCCACUCAGCCCGUGUGCUGUGCAGGAAGCAGCCAUGAGAAAUAACACCCAUCUCCCUUCUCUGCUGGUUUUUCCUUUUUGUUUAUAAUAACCAAAGGAUGGAAAUUGAAGGCUAGAUUUGGACCUGACUCUCCCAGUAUGCAACCUGUCUCCCCGCAGAGGCAUUGUUCUCAGCUCAUCUCUGGUGCCCUCAGCAAGCAAGCACAGAGUGCCUUAAAAGAGAGAAAUUGAACACAGAAUCUUGCAAGCACCUGGACAUCUAAAGACACCCAAGCAUUCACACUGGACAUCUCAAGGUCUUUGCCCACUGAGGAACAAAACAUCCAGAGAACUUUGACCACUCUGAGGUUUACUAAGAUCUUCCCACCUAAUUGUUACAGCUGAGUUAGUUAGAAAUAUUACAGGCAGUCACACAGGGCUGGACCCUGGAAGGAACCAGGGCAGAAGACCAAAUACCUUAAAACUGUGGGGAAAACAGACACCUCUGCUGAGGGCCAAAUGUACCCACCUACUUCCUAAGGAUAAAUGUCAGGGUUUGAUAUUCUAAAUAGGUUUCUAUCACCCUGAGGAAGCCUGGAGGAGCCACUAAUCCAACUCCCUACAAAGUCACUGCUUUACAGUAAUGUCCACUUGCUAAGUGACUCAAUUCCCCAUUUGUCCCAGAUUUAAUCAGUUUUAUGCAAUUACACUCAUAAUCUUGUUGGUUGACCAUAGUUCUGUCCCACUCCAUGUCCACCUUGCAAUUUCCCAUUUUUCCCUACCUUGGACCCACCUCACUUCAUGGUUCUACUCUGUAAAAAUCUCUAAAAAAGACAAGAGUGGCAACCCACUUGGGACCCGUUCAGUCUCUCGCAGACAGAACCUUUCUUUCUCUCAAUAAAUAUAUUCUGCUCUUAA